rnacentral:rRNA from 1 species
AAUGAACGUUGGCGGCGUGGAUUAGGCAUGCAAGUCGAGCGUGUACCCGCAAGGGGAAAGCGGCAAACGGGGUAGGAACGCGUAGGUCACGUACCCCUCGGCCGGGGAUAGCCACGGGAAACUGUGGGUAAUACCCGAUGACGCCGAGAGGCCAAAGGUGUGAUUCCGCCGGGGGAGCGGCCUGCGUAGUAUUAGCUAGUUGGUGAGGUAACGGCUCACCAAGGCGAAGAUGCUUAGGGGGUGUGAGAGCAUGACCCCCACCACUGGGACUGAGAUACUGCCCAGACACCUACGGGUGGCUGCAGUCGAGAAUCUUCGGCAAUGGGGGCAACCCUGACCGAGCGACGCCGCGUGUGGGAUGAAGGCCCUUGGGUUGUAAACCACUGUCAGAGGGGAUGAAACGAUCAUGGGUUCUCCCAUGGUCCUGACAUAGCCUCAGAGGAAGCACGGGCUAAGUUCGUGCCAGCAGCCGCGGUAAUACGAACUGUGCAAACGUUAUUCGGAAUCACUGGGUACG